rnacentral:rRNA from 1 species
CCUACGGGAGGCUGCAGUGGGGAAUUUUGGACAAUGGGGGCAACCCUGAUCCAGCCAUGCCGCGUGCGGGAAGAAGGCCUUCGGGUUGUAAACCGCUUUCGGCCGGAACGAAAUCGCCGGGGAGAACAUCCCCGGUGGAUGACGGUACCGGAAGAAGAAGCACCGGCUAACUACGUGCCAGCAGCCGCGGUAAUACGUAGGGUGCGAGCGUUAAGCGAAGUUACUGGGGGCAAAGCGCGAACACACGGUUGAAAGCCCCGGGCUUAACCUGGGAACUGCGUUUGUGACUGGCGGGCUGGAGUGCGGAAGAGGGAGGUGGAAUUCCACGUGUAGCAGUGAAAUGCGUAGAGAUGUGGAGGAACACCGAUGGCGAAGGCAGCCUCCUGGUCUAGCACUGACGCUCAUGCACGAAAGCGUGGGGAGCAAACAGGAUUAGAUACCCUAGUAGUC